GAUGAACGCUGGCGGCGUGCCUAAUACAUGCAAGUCGAACGCUUUGUCUUUAAUUGAUAUGCCGAGCUUGCUCUGAUUUGAUUUUAUCUGACAAAGAGUGGCGAACGGGUGAGUAACACGUGGGUAACCUACCUCUUAGCAGGGGAUAACAUUUGGAAACAAGUGCUAAUACCGUAUAACACUAACAACCGCAUGGUUGUUAGUUGAAAGAUGGUUCUGCUAUCACUAAGAGAUGGACCCGCGGUGCAUUAGCUAGUUGGUAAGGUAAUGGCUUACCAAGGCGAUGAUGCGUAGCCGAGUUGAGAGACUGAUCGGCCACAAUGGGACUGAGACACGGCCCAUACUCCUACGGGAGGCAGCAGUAGGGAAUCUUCCACAAUGGGCGCAAGCCUGAUGGAGCAACGCCGCGUGUGUGAUGAAGGGUUUCGGCUCGUAAAACACUGUUAUAAGAGAAGAACGACAUUGAGAGUAACUGUUCAGUGUGUGACGGUAUCUUAUCAGAAAGGAACGGCUAAAUACGUG
rnacentral:rRNA from 1 species